CUACGGGCUACGAACUACGGCACUACUAUCUUGAAAAAGGCUCGCUGGUUGAAUAUCGAUUCUGAUUGGAAGUUAGCACUGAAGGACAGCCCUCUGAACGAAUUGCAGUCGAAAGAUUCAAUACAAUUAUCUCUCCAGGAGGGAGCUCAUAUGAAGAUGUGCAGCAGAAAUGGCAAUUAAAAUCUCCAUAGGGAAUCAUCUCAUGGAAAGACAGGGCGAAUGGUUUCCCUUCAUUCUGAACAAGUUGUGUAAAGAUCCUAUAAUUACGAAGUACCGUGCAAAUGUCUUCUAUCAUCUGCAAAGCCCAAGGGAGCGCAUCCUUGCUGUGUAUCUCAUCAUAGAGCCAUCAUGGCCACAACAUUGAUAAAUAUUAGAAUGACCAUAUAUUUCAUUUUGACUGAAUUGGCCCUUUUCCAAAUUGUGUGGGAAAAAUUGACUGCACUCAUAUUCUGUUCAUACCACCUAGAUGUCAUAAGGAGCCCUACUGUAACAGGAAGUUCUCCCAUUUCAACAAAGUAUGAUGUGUGAUUCCCACCUGUGGAUUAUGAGAUCUAGUUUUCCCAGAGUGUCCACAACACCACAAGCUCUCUAUGAACACUUCACCGAAGGGGUAAUGCUGGAGGGCUGGCUGGUGGGUAUAGUCAGAUGUUUUGCAGCCAUCCAGCUGUAAUUGGACAUACACACUAUUUUCCCUUCUUGUUGUUGAUUGCUGGGACUUGCAGUUUAGUAACAAAUGGAGGGUGGCAAGUUGGAACUCCCUGCUGUCCUGUAUGAACUCUACCCGCACCACAAUAUUAAUUGCUCCGGUUUGUCUGAAAUGCCAUUGUGAACUCCCAAGCAGAUCAAAAAGAAAGGUAAUGCGUAGAUUGGCAGAGACAUCAUAUGAAAAGGUUGCAGAACAAUUCCAGUACCUGGCUACAUGAAGCAGCUGAGCAGUUGUUAUGCUGGCCCUGUUACUUUGGACACUGAAAUGUGGAACUGAAAUGGGCACAAGGUUUUAUGCCUCACGCUGCAGAUGAAAAGCAAAUCUGCAGUUAAAGAAGCAAAUUACCAUUGGCACAAGAAAGAUGACUGGAUCAGUUACAGGACUUGGUCCCCUACAGACAUAUAAUUAUACAGAACCAUUUUUUAUUUUUUCAGUGCAUGUUUUAGCCUUCAACCAGUUGAUUUGGAGGAUCAAACUAUAAGCAUCAUCACAUUACAUCAUCACAUUAAAAGAAACAGGGGUUUUCUGAUCAUCAAGCCCAGCACCAAUAUGGCUCACUGACCAACCCAGAACUGUAUGGGUCAUUGUAAGGUAGCAAACUGCUAGGCCUAUGAGCUAACUGGGUGGAUGAGUCAAAGAUGGCCAGUCGUGUCUGUUACCAAACUGCACAAAUACUGUACGCAUACUAGAGAUUCCAAAUUCUGGUUUUGGACAAAUCAGAGAAUUUGAGACCAGCAAAACUGGAUCCAAACCCAUGGCCGGAUUUGUUGAAAGACCACAAAGGUCUGGGUCUAGGGCAACAGGACUGUAGGGGCUGAUUGCCGCCCAGUACCGCAUCUGCACUGGGGAUUGGGCAGACAGAAGAACUCAACAGUUAUUUGAAUGUCCUGUCCUCCUACUCCCCUCUACUCAGUGGCGGAACCAGCGGGGGAGCAGGGGGUGCGAGCGGGCCAGGGCCCGCACCCCCUCAGGGCCCCCCGGCAGUCCAUUUGCCAUUGAAAACUCGGCCAAAUGCGGCCGUACGGAGGGGGGCGGGGCCCGGCUGCGCCUCACGCACCAGGGCCCGCCCCCCUCAACGAACGCUACUGCCUCUACUGCUGAUCCCUUCUACUGGAUUCCAAGAAAAACUGUAGCACACUGAUCCAGUUUGUUUGUGCAAAGAAAAGUGCUUUCAUUGGCUCAUGGUAGACAUCAGAAGUUCGGAAACACUGGGCCCUUUAUCAAGCCUAAAUUUACAUAUCAAGUACUGUGUUCAUAAGAAGCACUUUGGGGUGAAAGGGAUUUUUUAUAGACAAUGUAUACAAAUGUCUACACUUUUUACACGGUUUUCAUAUAUUUGUUAUUUAUGGACAUUUUAUGGACAUUUUAUCACAUGGACUGCCCAUAAUCCCAAUGGAGGCACAAGGACUUUUUAAACUAAUGAAUAAUUCAUACUUGCUAAUUAACUAUACACACCAGAAGUAUGUUUCAACCUAUCCUUGAAGUUUUACUCAGGGGCCACUCCCCACUUCCCCCCUCCACCCGUUUUCAUUUAGCUAUUUAACCCAGUACUUGAAUGUAAGUUUAGGCUUGAUAAAGGGCCUAACGUUAUUAAAUUAAUACUUGAUAAUUUUUUCUGCUGUUUUAUUUUCUUUAAGAAUUUGCAUAUGCAAAGUAGGAUUUGGAUUUGUUUUAGGAUUCGGCCAAUCCUAAAUCAUAAUUCAUAAUUUGACUAAAUACUAUCAAAACUGAAUUAUUAAAUACGACACAAAUUAGAUCAUGGUUUGUUCUGCCUGGCCACUCCCUCUUACAAACUGACACACAUUUUACCCAAUCUCUGACAACCCAAUCUCUGACAAUGUGUGUUCUUCCCCCACUGAAAGGCCCUCUUAUGCUGAGAACUGGGCAAAUACGCCACCCUUAAUAGUUCUUUGUAGUUUACUGUAUACAGAAUUUCUGAAUGUAAAAUAUAUUAGAAGCUUAUUAUCUAACCAGUCAGCUCUUGGUCUAAGACUAUUCCUGAAUGUUAUGAAUGUCCCACUAAAUAGCAUGACAGUGUGUUGCUCCCAGAUAAGCACAUGCUGCACCAUUCAACCCAGCAAAUCCAUAGCCCUAACAGCAUGUGUGCAUCUCAAGUGUGAUAAAUGGAGAUUAAAUAUGAAAUAAAUGUUGAUUGUCCUGGAAAAUGUGAAGGUCUCUGAAAUGAUAAAGGCAGCCGCACUGUUUUUGUAAAUGUCAGUGCAGAAUCCAUUUAAUUCCACGGCUUUUGAUUAACUCCAUUUCUGCUGGAAUAUUCUGAUGCACAAAGAGCAUUGCUGGCUGUAACAUAGAGGAAGAGUCAUUUUUAGUGUAGCACCGGAAAGGCAACGUGUUAUAAUAAAAUGUCAUCACUUUAUUAUAUACAUAAACAACUGGUGUAAACAUGUGUUAUUUUUUCAGGGAGGCGGAACUAAGUACCAUUUGACAGCUGUAUUUCUAAAUUAAUUUCAGUUGUCCGAGAGCAAACAUCACUUACAAUGGUAUUGUUGUUGGAUUGUGUUUGCAGUAUAUGCAGUAUAGGUUUCCUGUUUAAAAGGGUGGCCUGGAAACCAUGUCCCUUUAAAAAACAUACACCUAUUAUACACUUAUUCUGCAGGCUAAUCAGUAAUUAAUGAAUAUGUACAGUACAUAUAUAAUUAUAAUCUAGUCUGGGGUUCUGCAGUAUGUCUCAGAGAUGAAUAGCAGUCAACCCAGCAGAAUCAGGGUGUUUACUAGAAAACAGAUGGCGGGCACAACAGCAUGCAGAGAUAUUUCCUGUUUGGCCAACUUGACAAGGCAAUAAAAUUCACAUUCUGCAGGGCCUGUUAAUAGCUAACAAUUCAGGGAUUCAGUAACAGACUGUAUAGAAACAGUGUUCCGCAGAAGGGGGGAAUCUGUUUUUUCCCAACUUCAAGACAUCAUUUGAACCAGUCCCUGAAUCAGCACUGUACUAAGAGUUAAAAUACCAGUAGCCAUUUUUGACAUUUUAUUUUUCUAUCUCUGUAUUUUUUCUUACUUAUUCACUUUAUUAUUUGUGUUUGUAUUCUU